rnacentral:lncRNA from 1 species
GCAGUUCCAAGAGAUCAAUAAAAACUAAAAUCCAAACAAACAUAAAAAAACUAAGAAGUGAUGUAAUUGUUUAACAUUCAUUACUAAAACAAGAAAUAGAUGGUUCCAUGCAGAAUGGUUAAAAAACUAUGCUACUCUAAAGUAACUAUGACAGUUUCAUCAAUCGAUUGAAGGUAACUCUUCCUUGGACGCGAAGGAUCGUCAUUAUCACUUGUGUAUCCUUUCAUUAUCUUGGUUACUCCAUAAUUUCAUAGUAAAGAGACAUAGCGUGCAUGUUGAGUUUGUAAGUCAAAACCAUAUGAAUACACUUCCAGUCCUUCACUUAGGAUUUCUGCAUAUGCAGCAACAAAAACGCCAUAGUCUCUGUAAUUAAAAACAAAUUACUUUUAACAAUUCACUCAAAAGUUAAUCCAUGAUUAUACAUGUAAAAAGUAUAUUUUCCCUAUCCAAUUGUAUUGGGGCAUGUCGAGAAAUACCCCAAAGAUUGUAUGAGCACCUUUUACAUAUUGUAAAGAAUACCUUGCUUACUGUAUAACACAAACUUAGACAUAAAUGAUACUUUCAANNNNNNNNNNNNNNNNNNNNNNNNNNNNNNNNNNNNNNNNNNNNNNNNNNNNNNNNNNNNNNNNNNNNNNNNNNNNNNNNNNNNNNNNNNNNNNNNNNNNNNNNNNNNNNNNNNNNNNNNNNNNNNNNNNNNNNNNNNNNNNNNNNNNNNNNNNNNNNNNNNNNNNNNNNNNNNNNNNNNNNNNNNNNNNNNNNNNNNNNNNNNNNNNNNNNNNNNNNNNNNNNNNNNNNNNNNNNNNNNNNNNNNNNNNNNNNNNNNNNNNNNNNNNNNNNNNNNNNNNNNNNNNNNNNNNNNNNNNNNNNNNNNNNNNNNNNNNNNNNNNNNNNNNNNNNNNNNNNNNNNNNNNNNNNNNNNNNNNNNNNNNNNNNNNNNNNNNNNNNNNNNNNNNNNNNNNNNNNNNNNNNNNNNNNNNNNNNNNNNNNNNNNNNNNNNNNNNNNNNNNNNNNNNNNNNNNNNNNNNNNNNNNNNNNNNNNNNNNNNNNNNNNNNNNNNNNNNNNNNNNNNNNNNNNNNNNNNNNNNNNNNNNNNNNNNNNNNNNNNNNNNNNNNNNNNNNNNNNNNNNNNNNNNNNNNNNNNNNNNNNNNNNNNNNNNNNNNNNNNNNNNNNNNNNNNNNNNNNNNNNNNNNNNNNNNNNNNNNNNNNNNACAUACAUAAAGCACACCUCAAUAAAUGUAAUAUAAGCUUGAUAAUGUAUAAUAUUCAGCUUCUCAUACUAUACAGUCCCACAAAAUAUUUAUCAACGUAUUACCCAUUUACUGAAGAAAAUAAAAUAAUUUUAAAACUAUACCUUUGAAAGACGCGGUCGUCCUGAAUCAUCGAACUUCUUUUUACUUGUCGAUUUUGAAGCCGACUUCUUUGAACUCAAACUAACAGCUUUUCUUAAUUUUUUCAUAGUUAUAUCGAAUCAUUGGUGGUUGAAUCGGGACUAUGCAAAAUUGGGUUCUUCAUAAUCAAAUGUACCAGAAACAAAAUCAAAAAUGGAAAUAUUGUUAUUGAUUAAGCACUUGCAACUAAAAAAAUAAAGAUCUGACUUGUAUUAUAUGAAAAAUACUAAAAAAAAAAUAACUAACACACUGAAAUGACAUUGCAAAAGCAAUUAAUUUCAUAAAUACAUAUAUGCAACAAAAAAAAAUCUAAACUAAUUUUGAUUUGGUAAAGUUGAAAAAAGAACUCAAAAAUUAAUUAGGGUGGUAAUGAAGUUAAUCAAUAUUUUCAGUUAAUGUUCGAAAAUUUACAAAAUCGACACAUCUCAUUAACUGAACGUAAUUAGAUUAUUCUCAAGAUUUUAAAAGAGAUAAUACUCAAUUACCCCCCUGAACUAUACCCAAAAAGGUUAUGACACACCUCAACUUAAAGGGGGUCCUAUUACCCCCAACUAACUAAAAGUGUAAUUCUGAGACUCUUAGUAUCUACGUGUUACAACACACUAAAGUAUCCACGUAGGCACACGUGUGUGCCACGUAGGCACUAAGGAUGUCAAAAUUACACUUUUAAUUAGUUCGGGGAGGGUAAUAGGACCCUCUUUAAGUUAAGGUGUGUUAUAGCCUUUUUGGAUAUAGUUCAGAGGGGUAAUUGGAUAUUUUUUCAUUUUAAAAUUUAAAUUAUAAGCUUGAAAACUCAACAAAUAACUUAAGUGGGAUUGAAAACUCAACAAAAUAUCUCCAUAUUUCCUAGCUUGAUUUUGGGCGUGAAAUAUGCAGAGCAGUAAUGGAGGAAAUAUCAAACUAAAAGAUUUCAAUAGUGGAGGAAAAAUUUUAAUUUGGACGUAAAAAAAGGGUUUCAAUAAUGGAGAAAAAAAUCUAAUGUGUAAUGGGAGAAAAAAUGAAAGCAAAAGGCGGCCUUUUUUUUUAUGUAUAAGAGGAAAGAGAAAGAAAGUAGAAAAAGAGGGAAUUUCAGUAAUUACUUUGAAAUUUAUGUAAUUACUUUUCUCGUAUGAGAUUUAUUGUAAUAAGGUAAAAUUACUUUGUGUAUAUAUAUAAAUUUUAGAUUAAAGAACCCAUAACCCAUCAGCCUAACAUAAUAACAACCAACCCACCAGCCUUAUUACCCGAUCCAGGCCCAACCAAAAACCCUUAUACAGCUCUGACGCAGCCCACACCCUUGUUACUUGUCCUUUACCCUCACACAAACAACAACAACGUACAACCCCCAUCAAUAAUGCUCCAACAGUGUACAAGAAAAUGGAAAAAACAAAAAUAACAACAGCAAACAAUAUCCACGACAGCAACAGCCAACAGUAAAAUAACGACAAAACCCAAUCCCCAAACAAACAGACACAAUUUCAACGUUCAACAGCAACUUUGACAACAACACAACAAUUUCAACGCAACAACAAUAUCUAUUAAUCCAGAUUUUUCUCAAAAUCAUUCAAUCUGAUAUGAACAUGGACGGUCAUGUUUAAUUCGUGUUUGAAUUUAAAAUUAUUCAUCCUCAAUUUCUGUUUUGUUUCCUCCAAAAUCAAUCCCAAACCUUCUAUAAAUACCCAUUGAAGAACAAAAGGGAGGAGAAGGAUUUUUGAAAAAAAAAUUGAGGAGAGGCGCAUGCUUUUAAUCCUACGUAACCAAAAAUUCUCAAAGAAAUGGACUCGAGCUCAAUUCCGACGAAAAUUAAUCUUCGAAUUUAGUGUUGAAAGUUUCGUCGUCAAGGUUCGUUGUUCCCAUUCGCCGCCCACAAAAAGGUAAACUUAGCUCCCUUUAUCUAUUUUAUUUGAAGUAGCAUAAUUUAAUUGUUCGCGUUAAUAGUGCUUGUCCUUGUUUAGCCGUAAUCUUCUUCAGAGUGUUAUGAUCAUCUGUGUUCAGCUGGUAUAAGUAUUAAGUUGUUUGAUUAGCUAUCUGAUGAAACCCAAACUGAUUUUGCUUGUGUAUGAACUCUAGCUUCACUUUAUCAUCAAAACAGGGUUGUAACUGCUCGAUUGGAUCUCGAAGAACCUUGUUGUUUCAUUUUUUAUUUUAUUCUUUCCGCUUGAUUAAAUCCAAAUUAGCAAGUCUCAAUGUUGCCUGCACUCUACAUGUUUUCUUUUAUAUAAAGUAAAUUUUUGUUAAGUUCUAGAGAGAGAUCCUAUUUUUUCCUCAGUUAUCAUAUUUAUGUGUUUUUUGUUGAUGCAUUGCCAUAACACUCAUGUACACUAUCAUACAUGUACAUGAAAAAAUGGUGUCAAACAUGCUGAUUUCUACGUUGAUAUAUGGCGUAUACACGAUGGUAUACCUAAAAACGCAGAAAAAAAGGGGACUAAUAUACAUAUAGUAUACAUAGCUGAAAGAGGAUUAAAAAAAAAAAAAAAAGGCCAUUUAAAUAGGCCCAAAACCAAUGCUGUCCAGAUUUUAAAAUGGGCUAAUUAAGGGCCCAAUUUCAAUUCUUGUAUUCUUUUUUGUAGCUUAUAUUGUUUAGUGAAAAUUAUAUAUAUAACGACAUGUUUACUAGUAUUUACUAAAAAUCCCAGCUAUUUUCAAAAUUUCAUUAAAUCCCAACAUUUAGCCUUUGAAGAUACAUAUAAGUUCAGUUAGAUACGUCCUACAGAUACAUAUAUUAGUUAAACUAAUUAGCAUAUUUUAAGAGAUUAGUUAAACUAAUUAGCAUGUUUUAAGGAAUGUAACAGCGAAACUAGCAUUAAUAUAGCAAUUAACCUUACUAAUUAUGGUAAAAAAUAAAUAAUAUCCCACGAUAUAUGGUAAUUAGUUUGUUAUUCCACCAUUUUAAACAAAAACCUUUCCAUAAUUAGUUUUCAGGUUGCAAAAAGUUUAUACGUUCCAUCAAAAUAAAUCCAUACCUCUUUUUUUUUUUAUUUUUUGAUUUUCUUUGAUCAAUUGCUAUGAAAGUUCAUACGCUCCAUCAAAAAAAUUCAUACGACCUCUCUUUUUUAUUUGUUGAUUUUCUUUCAUCGAUUGCAAUGAAUAUUUCAAUGUCCGUACAUCAUUCCAACGUUUGGAUUAACGAUAUUAUACCAUAAUCACUCAAACCACUUUCGUUGUUGUUGUUCGAUAUGAAGGGAAACAAGAUCAUUACAAGUUGCGAAAAUAGUGAAGUUAAGGUUGGACAAAUCUACAAGGACAAGUGUAUUGUUAUUUCAGUUAUGGCAUGGUAUGCCAUUGAGCAUUCCUUCAAUUUCUAUGCGAAAAGAUACAAAAAAUGAUUUGUAUGUUUAAUGUUUCAAAAGUAGUUAUUUGUCUUUUGACUAUUCAAUUAUGCAUUUAACGUAAAAUUGAUUGUCGUUUUACGUAAUUCAGUUUUUGUUAUUUUUAGUAGGCCGAGAUACAUAUUUGGUCUAAUGAGAUAUAUUUUUUCUUCAUCUUGUAUCUCUGGUUCAGGUUGUUUAUAUAUAUGUAUCUCUUGAUGUUUUAGUUUUAGUGAUAUAAACAUACCAAAGAUACAUAUUAGUAGUGUUAAAUAUACAUAAUGGGCAUGAUAGCACAUAUAUGUGUCUCUCAUUAAUUUUUUCUGUACGAUAAAAUACAUCUUAAUUUUUUAACAUAUUACCGUUGAAGAUACAUAUAAUUAACGUGAGAUACAUCCUAUAGAUACAUUUAAUAAUUGAAUUAAUUUACAUAAUUUAAGGGUUGUAACGGUUAAAGUUCCUUUAAUUUAGCAAUUAACCUAACUAAUAAUGGUAAAAACUAAACAAAAUUCCACGAAAAUAGGUAAUUUGUUUGUUAUUCCACAUUUUUAAAUUAAAAAAAUUUCGUAUUUCGUUUUCAGUUAUAAACGAUUCCUACGACUUUUUUAUUGUUUUUUCUUGAUUUUGUUUGAAGUAAUUGCAAUGAACAUUUUAGUGUUGUUACGUUAUUCUGGCGUUUGGAUUAACGAUAUAACGUACGAGGGCUAAAUAAUUGAAUUCAAAAAAUAAUUAUUGAAUUAAAAAAAUGCGAGAUACAUAUAACAUACCCCUCAUACACUAUAUGUAUCUUUAAGCUUACUAACAUGUAUCUUUAGUAUGUUGAUUUUACUAAAACUUUAAAACAAGAGUUAAACAGAUAACUAUAGAUACAAAAUAUUGAAAAAAAGUAUCAUGUAUGUGUAAAUAUGUAUCUAAGUUUGAAAUUAUCCAGAUCCGAAAUAACAAGAGAUACAUAAACGCACAAUAACACAAAAUCAGAUAUACAAAAAGCUUAAAAUGUAUCUGUUGUUUUACAGAAUAUGUAUCUUUUGUAUAAAUAUUUGAAUCAAAAUAAAAAAUAGCAUGAGAUAUAUACAAAACAAACUCGUACACAAUAUAUAUCUUUAAGUUUACCAACAUGUAUAUUUAAUAUGCCUAUUUCACUAAAACUUAAAAAAUAAGAGAUACAUAUAACAACAAAUAUGGAGAAUAACAUAUACAAGAAAUUGCUCUGAAGGCCUCCAUAGAUCUUGAAUUUUUGUUAUGAGAUAAUGAUGCACAAUUUUUUUUCCUAGUAACUUGAUGAUUAGAGUGUAUUUGCAAGGUGAGUGUAGUUGGAUUUUUUCUUCCUCUUUAAGAUGAAUGACUUUAAAUCCGUUGGUCACCGUAUCAUCUUUUGUCAGAGGUUUCGAUUGAUUUUUUGCUUCGCGCAGCAAAAUAUUAUUGGAUUAGAAGGUUUAUUUGAAGUACCGAUAGCGAAAAAACAGUCGAAAAUAACCUCACCGGAGAUAAUUUUCUUCGCCGAAAUAGUAACUUUACCCAUAACUCAAGCACCAAAAACAUCAUCAUCUUUAACACGAAACUCCAAACGAUCAAUUGGGUGAGCUAAAGAGAUAUGAUUUUGUUUAAUUUGAUUUUUGAGAAAAACCAUUGAACAUAAUAAGAAAAAAGUGAAGAUGAAUUUAGGGGGAAAAAUAUCUUAAUUAAAAAAAUGAAGAAGAAGAGGAGAAAAUUAUGGGAUAAAAUCGUGACCAAAAUUUUGGCGUUAAUGUAGCCAUUAAUGUAGGAAGAGUUGGUAAAGUUAAAAUUGGGGGAAAAAAAGUGUUUUAGGAUGUAUCUCAAUUUUUAACCUAAAUUAAUAAAAGUUGGGAUAUUUGUAGUUUUUUCAAACUGAAGGGAUUUUUAGUAAUUUUAAAACUAAAGUUGUGCUUUUAUGAAAUUUUUUCUAUUGUUUAUUUGUAUUAACUAAUACUUUAUUUGUAUUAACUAAUACUUUAACUCAAUUAAUCUAGAUAAAUUUUCUAAAGUGUUGUCAUUUUUAUCUUAUCUUAAUUUUUUUUACUUAAUUAAUAUUUUUUUUCACCUAAUUUAUUUUUUCUAAAAAAUAAUUUAAAUCGGCUCCUUCGACUUUUGUUAGCAAGUCUUUAAAAAAUUAAAUGCUUUAUUCCAAAAUGGUAUUUGAGUUGUUCAUGUAACUAAUAGCUCAUUUAGACUAAAAUAAUUUUCUCCAAACCUAGGAAACUAAUUGGUUCGAAAAUUAACUUUUUUCCAAAAUUAGCAAGGCACUUUUAAUUAAAUACUCUCUUAAUAUUUUAUCUCUACAUAAUCGACUUUUUCUAUAAUAAUUAAUAAUAAGAAAAUAAUUUCGUAAUCUUUUCUUUCUCCACGAAAGCAAAAUUCAUUUUUCUCUUAAGUCCGAAAAAUUACAGUUUAGUUCAAUUCAAAUAAAUUAUUUUCUCAUUUGAAUAAAUAGAUGUCAUUUUAAAUGUUUAAAUAAAUAAUUUUAAUAUUUUCUAUAAAAUCAAGUCUUUGCGAAAAUUAAUCAAGUUAGUUCUUUUUGAUAAACCGUUUUAAACGAACGCUCCUAAGUGCCUUAAAAUCUUCUUAGGGCAUUAAUUGAACCCUUACCCAAUUUCUAUAAGUUUAAACGUUUAUUUCUGUUUUGAACCUUUAAAAUUCUUUUAAGUUUUUUCUUGAUUUUUUCUAUAAAAAUUAAAUGGCGACUCCAUGAAUUUCUCAAAAUUAUUUCAAAAUUUUUCUGAAUCUUUUGAAAUAGUUUUAAGAGAUCAAAAUCAUUUUCUUCACACAAAAAAAAAACGAAAAAGGAUAAAACAAGUGACAUUUGGCCUGUGCUAAGUCGGGACUCAAAAUUAAAAAUGAAAUUUAAAUUAUAAUUUAUUUAUUUAUUUACUUUUUUCUUGCUAGUGGGGAACUGAAUCAUUGACAAAAGUUUUGAUAGCCAACUAAUUAAGCUACAGAUAAUUUUAUUUUAUUUUUUUAAAAAAAGAAAUUUACCUCUCCCCGAAAACUUCUACCCAUUUUGCUCCACAAAUAACUCGAACCUAAAACCUUAAGGUUGGAGGUUGGUGAUAUUUAACAUUCGAGCAACUCUUUUUGUCACCUAUUAGAUUGUGUAAUCACAUGGUACUUUUAUUCUCUUUAUUUCAUUUUAACUGUCAUUUAGUUUUUUUCUAAGUCAAUUAAGAAAAAAAUAACAAAUACAAAGGAUAUUCUAUUGAGUUAUUUUUAUUAAUUAGAUGAUUUUUUUUAGAAUCCUUAAUAUAACCUCUUUAAUGACCACAUUUCAUUUUUGGAAAGUCAAACUGUAUGAAUUUUGAUCAUCAUUUUUAAAAUGUAUUUUUUCAUCAUAUUACUAUGAGAAGAGUUGCAAGUUAUAGUAUUUUUCAUAUAGUGUUCAAACAACUAAAUUUUAAUUUUUAAAAUUAAAUUAUUCUAAUCCAAUUUAGUUUAAAAAAUUAAUCAAAUUUACUCUCGUGAAGCAAAUUGUGGCAAACAAACAAAAAUUGAGGGAGUACAAACUUUUGUUCUGAAUUUCUAAAGUGAUAUUUUGAGAUAAUUUUUUCUUUUUUAAACACUUUAUCAGAGUUCACAACUUCUUAAGUAUUUUAAGAGAAUUUUGUAGUUCUCUAAAUUUAAAUUUAUCAAAAUAAAUGUAGCAACUCAAAUAAUAAAGAAAAAUAUUAAAGGUAAAAAUGAAACCUAUGAAGAUGUUAUAGUACUUGUGACAUUACUUUUAAAAAAUUUAGUGUAACAAAUCAUGUAUUUAUCAAAAAAAAGCUUGAAAUUUUCUUAACUUUUAUGUAAUGGUAUUUACCAAAAAAAAACAUAAAAUUGAAAGAUCUUUAACUUUUAUAUAGUAUAGAAAGCAAUUAAAAACAAAUGUAGGGGCAAAUUUGAAAGAGAAGAAUUUUUAGUUGAUAAGCAUGUAACCAAGGACUACUAAAAAAUUACAUUCUCUCUUAUAAAUAGUAGGAUAACUCUAAAAUAAAAUACAACCUAUAAAUAACUCUCAUAGAGAAGUAGGUUAUCUUCACACCAUCCAAAUGUUGUGAUAAGUGGUACAUAUUUUUUAUUUUUUGAAGUGUCAGAAUUCAGAUCUUGUAAAUAGAGUUACUUUAGCAUUUUUAUUUUUAAAAUGAGACAUUUUUCUUUUUUAUGUAAAUUUACAUUAAUUAAAAUUUAAAAUAAAUAGUGAAGCACUGUACUUUUAUUUAUUUUGAAAUAAUUAAUUUUGAUACUAUUAUUCCAUUCUAUUAUUGGAAUAACUUAAUUUGAUACUAAUUGUUCAGUUGCGAGAGAUACAUAAUAAAACUUCUAAAAAUUAUACAAAUACACAACUUAUAUUUUCAAUAUUACAAAAAAUCUCAACUCCCUAAAUAUAUUACAAAAAUCUCAACAUAUACACUGAAUGUUAUGUAUAUGCCGGCUAUGUUAUGUAUAUUAAUAGAGAGAGUAAAGUAAUUAAAAAAGUGGAAGAGAGUGUAAUUACUUUCAAAAGGGUUGAUAUUUAUAUUAUUUAUAAAAAAAAAAUAAAAAAUUACACAAAUAUAUAACUUAUGUUUUCAAUAUUACAAAAAAUCUCAACUCCCUAAACAUAUUACAAAAAUCCCACAUGUACACAGAAUGAUAUCUAUAUGUCGGAUAUGUUGUCUGUAUUAAUAGGAAGAGAGAAAAGUAAUUAAAAAAAUGGGAGACAGUGUAACUACUUUUAAAAAGUUUUAUGUUAUUUAUAAAAAAAAACAAAUAAACUUUCGUGGCCCACCCAUUUGGUCUCAUAUUAUUGGCCUAGGACAUUUUCUCUUGAAUCAUCAUAUUAAUCUUGGGCAUUGCAAAUAUGAUUCAUAUAUAUUCUUCUUUACUUGCAUUUCGAUAAAGACUCUUUGAAGUCUACAACUUGCUUACGCUUCAAAGAGUAUAUAUAUAACGUAUAAGAAAAUUAUGAGAGACGAUAAGCCCAAAAUAUCCAAUAAACAUGAAUGGUGGAUGAUUUUUUUCUAAUUUGCUUAGGUUUUAGAUUAAUUUAAUUAAUAUUUGUGUUGAUAGAAGAUAUUAAACACAUGUAGAAUAGUUAAAGAUACACGUAAAAUAGGAUGCAGAGGUACAAUACACGAAGGAGUUUAUCUAAAUCCUGUUUAUUUUAUAUAUGUUGUAUUCUACAUCAUCAAUGGCGGAUAAGACGAAUUUGCCUUCUUAUAUGGUCUUUGAUAAUUCUCACUUCAUGAGCUAACUUUAAGGUAGAUUAAAUUUGAGGUUCAAUUUUUUAUCAUGAUAUUGAACUUGACCUCAUCACUAAAUUUUGGUUUACUCAAUAUUUAGAUCUUCAUCUUAUAGCGUCCACGCCCUAGCCGGCAGGUUGUGUAGAGGUAUUGUAAGUCACAUCAGUGGGAUGUGACCAUUAUCUUUUUAUAUAGAUAAUUAUGAAUUAAUUUUUGAGCUAAGUUACAUUCAAUUUUCAUUUUUUUUUCUAUUAUAUAAAAGAGGUGGUUUCGAUCACCUCUUGUGAAAUUAUCAAAAAAUGUUUUUACUCUCAUUUAAUUACAUAUCAUACCUCAAUAUAUAAUAAUUUUAUUAUUUCAUCAUAAUAAUUUAAAUAUUUAAUAUAUUCUAUUAAUUUAUAUUAAUUAAUUAUAACUACAUAUUGAAAGUAAUUUUUUUUUAUUUAUUUAAUUGACUAUCAUGUUCAAAAUUAAUUUGUUACCACAAAUCACAAUAAUUAAUAAUUUAAAAUAUUUAAAAGACAUAUAGAAAUUUUAUUGACUCUCAUUAUUUUAGCAAUGCCACAUAAAUUGAGAUAAAAGAAAAAGUACUGCAAAUCAUAAUAAUUAAACUUGUUUAUAAACUAGUACGUAGGUAGGAAAAUAUAUUUCUUUUCUAUAUAAUAGAAGAGGUGGUUUCAAUCACCUCUUAUUCAAUUACUAAAAUAUCUCUUUACUUUUAUUUAAUUACGUAUCAUAUUCCAAUAUAUAAUAAUUUUAUUGUUUCAUCAUAAUGGUUUAAAUAUUUAAUAUAUUCUAUUAAUUUAUAUUAAUUAAAUAUAACUACAUAUUGAAAGUAAAUUUUUUUUAUUUAUUUAAUUGGCUAUUGUCACACCACUUUUUACACUCCAAAAAAAGAUUUGUUUUAAGUUUGAAAGGGUUUUGUUAUUAAGGUGACAAAAGAUUGAAGGUUAUUUCGAAAAAGGAUUAUUUACAUUUUUAUUCAGAGUCGUCGCUUGGCAUAAUCCGGUGUGCUAAGUCACAUUUGAAAGAUCCUUUUCAAAACAAUUUGACUCUUUAAACUGAUUUGCGAAUAAAGAUUCCGACUAAGGAAUUCUGUUGACCGCGGGGAAGGUGUUAGGCACCCUUCGGUCCCGUGGUUUGACCACCGUCGCUUGAUGAAGGGUAUCGGCUAAUUUGGCAUUACGAUGUACAAACCAUACAAAAACAUGUAAAACAAUCAAAAAAACAAAACAAAAGGGAUCCAAAAUAUAGUGUCCAGUUUGAGUUAUACAGUCCUCAAAUAGAAAAAUACGGAAAUGUAAAUCCUAUUCUAAACUAAUCCUAAAUUAAGCUCCAAUGCCUCACCCGAUGCCUCGGGCCUUCCUCGCGAACGUCCUCCAAGUACAAGAUACUUUGGGGCAUUUCCCAAAUAAAUCAAUACAAAUCCCUCGAGGCAUCCCCCGGCCAAAUGAAUAUAUUUUUAGUACGGGAAAAUAAAACUAUUCAACAAAAUUUCAAACAUUCCACAGAAUUUCCAACAUUCAACCGAAGCCACAAAUUCUAAACUUUGCCUACCCAAAUUAUGUUUGCCUAAACCAAUCGACGUAUCAAGAUACUACCAAGUUCUAUUAACGUUCAUUUCAAGUCAAACAACCAAUGAAUCAAACUAACCAAAAUUCAGCAAUUAAGUCAAGUUUUCAAUUCUCACCCCACCCCCCAAUUAAUUCACGAUUCAAAAUAACUAAAGAUUCACCACCAACACAGAUCAAAUAAGACAUAACACGCAAUUUGAUACAUCCGAAUAUAAUGAAUAAUGAACUAACAGAAAGAUGGAAUAGGAAAAAGGAUAGAAUCCGUACCUGAAAACCUCGAACCGAACCUCAACAGUGACGAACUCCAACUCCGAUAUUGAAGAAUUCAAAACCAAAAACUGGUUGAGACGCGCGAAAUACUAAACCCCAAAAUAGGAACAAAAACUGAUGAAUCCCCCUAAGCUUGAUUCUGGCAACGAAACACAAAGUCAGACGAACCCAGAAACCCCAAUAUACAACAGAACCAAAGAACAGUGUAGCCUGAGCUUUGGUAAGCUUGGACAGCGUUAAAACGAUGAGAAAGGGAGGAUUCUGGUGAAUUUCAACGCAUUCAAGCUGGAUUUACUUGAAAAUCAAAAGAAACGAUGAGAUUUUUGGUGAUUUCAAACUGGUCGGUCAAGUCAACGAAUGAUGAUCGACUACCGACAAAGAUCUCACAGAACUUGGCCUGUACAGAACCUGAGACGGGGCUUCGGUGAGUGAACAUUCGCCAGAACAGUGUUCUCCGGCCUAUUCUGCUUUUUUCUCUCUCUCGUUCAACUGCUCUCUCCCAUCUCUCUCCCUUGUAGCUCUCUCUCUGUGUGUGUUUACCAAUUCAGAAGUGAGUAUCGCGUGUGUGUUUUUUGAGAGUGUGCGUGUGCAUGUUACUGGUGAGAAUGAGAAUAACAGAGGGGUCCAUUUUUUUAAUAGAAAAAAGAUGGGUCCUCCCUUUUUGAGUGAUAUACCCUGUGUAUGACGAUGGAGGAUUUUUUCCUUCUUGUGAGUGAAUUCUUUGGUCAAGAUGAAGAGUUUUUUUCUUCUCCUUUGAUCCUUAUUCGUGGGCCCCUCUUCCUUUACUUUUUGUGCUCUCUCUCUUCUGUAUAUGUGUAAGGACUAUAUAUAUAUAUAUGAAAGUGGUCUAGUCCCUCAGUAGGUGUGUGGAAUGGAAAAAACAAAGGAAUAAUUGUGAUUCCUUGCAUUGUGGGCCCCACAAGUUGUUAUCCUCUUUUGGAAUAUAGUGUAGAUGAUUAUGAAAUGGAAAAAAAAUGAAGGGAUCACGUGAGGUGUUCAAAUGAAAAUGGAUUGAGUUCUUGUUUUACUCUGGGGCCCACCUAUUUUUGUUCCAUUCCUUUUUUGUUCUCUUUUUUCUGUUAGUGAUAAUUAAAUGUGAAGGAAAGGGGUGGGGUAUAGGGUAGGUGGGGUAGUAGGUGAGGUGUAGAGGGGGUUAGGAUAGGAUAAAAUUUGUUAGGGAGUUAUUAUUUUUGUAUUUUGUGGGGGGAAUAAUUACAUGGUUGAGGGUACACGGUAGGAUAGGUAAAAAGGUGAAAACUAAUCUUUCGGAGGGACAAAAUUACGUGUCUACAUCAUGCCCCCUUUGAAUGUAAACACUCAAUAUUUUCAGACAAAAAAGUAGACAACGAGAUGGAAUUUUGUCCCAAUCUUUAUUCAAAAGCACGGAGGAAGAGAAAGGAGCGAAACCAGGUCUUGACUUAGGGCAUCCUACCUACCCAAGUUAUGAAAAAAAUCCAUCACAGGUACUUUCAAAGGAAGGAGAAAGGCUAUACCGAGUUGGAAAGUCGAGUGAGGCUCCAUCGAGGUUCCGGUCCACGGCUCUGUCAUUACAUUAAAAUGAAAAUUACAAGUUAAAACAUAAAUGAAAUUACAAAAAUCCUAUCUAUACAACUUCUGUUAGACUCCUGACUUAAGUUUCAUCACCCUAUUCUUCAGGCAGGCUCCUGAUUUGCAAUUUUAUCACUUGUUGCCUGGUUUUCAAUAGUUUCACCUUGUUGCUUAACUUUUCAUUUAUUCACCCUGUGCUUCGGGCGGGCUCCUGACUUGCCAUUUCAUCACUCUGUGCCUCGGCGGGCUCCUGACUUGUAAUUUCCUCACCCUAUUCUUCAGGCGAGCUCCUGACUUGCAAUUUCAUCAACUUGUUGUUUAGCUUUCAAAUGUUUCACCUCAUUGCUUAUCUUUCAAUUUCUUUGCCCUAUUCUUCUGGCGGACUCCUAAAAUCACAUCAAAACUAAAAAGAAAAUUAUUCCAAAUAAAGAUUAUUAUAAAGAGGUUUCAUUUUUCUGAAAGUAAUGUCCCAUUUUUCAGGAGGGUCCUGAACAUAAAGUAAAUCCCAUUUUCCAGGAAGGUCUUGAACAUAAAGUAAACUCUCAUUUCAGAAGGGUCCUGAACAUAAAGUAAAAUCUCAUUUUUCAGGAGGGUCCUGAACAGAAAGUAAAAUCUCAUUUUUCAGGAGGGUCCUGAAUAGAAAGUAAAAUUCCAUUUUUCAGGAGGGUCCUGAACAGAAAGUAAAAUCUCAUUUCUCAGAAGGGUCCUGAACAUAAAGUAAAUUCUCAUUUUUCAGGAGGGUCCUGAAUUGAAAGUAAAUUUCCAUUUUUCAGGAGGUUCCUGACUUGAAAUUAAAUUCCCAUUUUCCAGGAGGGUCCUGAACAUAAAUUAAAUUCCCAUUUUUCAGGAGGGUCCUGAACAUAAAGUAAAUUUUCAUUUUCUAGGAGGGUCCUGAAUUGAAAGUAAAUUCCCAUUUUCCAGGAGGGUCCUGAAUUAAAAGUAAAUUCUUAUUUUUCCAGGAGGGUCCUGAACAUAAAGUAAAUUCUCAUUUUCCAAGAGGGUCCUGAAUUGAAAGUAAAUUCUCAUUUUCUAAGAGGGUCCUGAACAUAAAGUAAAUUUCCAUUUUUCAGGAGGGCCUUGAACAUAAAGUAAAUUCUCAUUUUCCAGAAGGGUCCUGAGUUGAAAGUAAAUUUCCAUUUUCCAGGAGAGUCCUGAACAUAAAGUAAAUUCUCAUUUUUCAGGAGAGUCCUGAACAUAAAAGUAAAUUCCCAUUUUCCAGGAGGAUCCUGAACAUAAAGUAAAUUCUCAUUUUUCAGGAGGGUCCUGAACAUAAAGUAAAUUCUCAUUUUCUAGGAGGGUCCUGAGUUGAAAGAAAAAUUCCAUUUUUCAGGAGGGUCCUGAAUUAAAAGUAAAUUUUCAUUUUUCUAGGAGGGUCCUGAACAUAAAGUAAAUUCUCAUUUUCCAGGAGGGGCCUGAAUUGAAAGUAAAUUCUCAUUUUCCAGGAGGGUCCUGAACAUAAAGUAAAUUUUCAUUUUUCAGGAGGGUCCUGAGUUAAAAGUAAAUUCUUAUUUUCCAGGAGGGUCCUGAACAUAAAGUAAAUUUCUAUUUUUCAGGAGGGUCCUGAACAUAAAGUAAAUUCCCAUUUUUCAGGAGGGUCCUGAGUUGAAAGUAAAUUCUCAUUUUCCAGGAGGGUCCUGAACAUAAAUUAAAUUCCCAUUUUUUUAGGAGGGUCCUGAACAGAAAGAAAAAUCUCAUUUUUCAGGAGGGUCCUGAAUAGAAAGUAAAGUCCCCACGGAUGUGCAUUUCCAGUGGUAGCUGAAUUAAGUGAAGCAAAUUUGCCCCUGUUUCAACAAAGAAAAUUUGUCAGUUAAAAACUUAGUGGUGGCUUGCGGCACUAGGCUGUCCUGAUAACUGCUCAGUGUUCAUUCCCUUCAUUUUGUUUCAGAUUGCUGGCACUUGCCCCUGUUUUUUCGUGUCAUUGAUCCAAACUCAGAUUAUUAAGAGUGACUCUGAAGUAAACACAUUAUUUCUGCUCUGCCAUGCUUCUUAGAUAAACCCUUUAAACCUUGAUAUUUCCAUGAGUUUUCAGACUCGUUUGUUGACAAACUUUUGCAUGCCUUAUUUCAGCUCACAAUCAUAUCCCUUUCAUAUGCUGGCCUUUUGUUUUGCUUUCUGCAAUUGAAGAAGCUGGCAGCCAGUUUUGAAAUCUUUUCUCACUUGUUUUGACAUGGAUUUGACUCAAAGACAAGAGAAAAAUGACAAUAGUUCUUAUUUGGGAUAACUGACUCAAGAAAAAUAAAAUGAAUAUAAAAAGAAGAAAUAAAAGACAGUGAAUGUCCCCAUUUGAAGAAAUGAAAAAUUAUCUAAAAAUGACAGUCAACUCUAAUGAUUAUGCCAUGCAUUUCGGAUUAAACUGUCUGAUCUUUCCAUCCAAAACGCUCACAAAUUGUUGUUGAGUUAAUGUUCUUAAAACUAAGUUGCUUCCUUGGGUCAAUUUAUUUUUAAGACCUCAUCCGACUAGUGGCACCUUGAAGGGUUUUCGUUAUCAAACUUCUCUCAUUUUGUUUUUCUCAGCUCACCAUUUCCUUAUGGUGUCUGUAAGGGGUUUUCACCAAUGACUCUUUUAUUAUUAUUUUUCCCAACUCACAAUCAUUUUACGGUGCCCAUGAGGGUUUUCACCAAUCAGACUCUUUCAUUUUUAUUUCUCUCAGCUUACUAUCAUCUUAUGAUGCUCAUAAGGGUUUUCACCGAUAAGACUCUCUCAUUUUCAUUUCUCUCCUGAUUCCUUGUGCUGAGGAAGACAAGCAGUCCCAAAAUGCGUCAUCACAUCCAUUGCAUGUUUAGCCUUAUCAUUCUCAAAGAUUAAUCUGAAGGUAUUUCUUUGGUUGUAACUUAGCUUUUGGAUAGUGUUAGAAAGAAAGGAUGGCAUGAGGCCUAAACAACACUUGAAGUGGAGUGGGACUUACAACUUUUGGAAUCAACUCAAAAAGUGAGGAUUAACUCAUGCCCCAGUUUCUUUUGACUGGGUGAUGCUAAAUUGUUUAUUUGGUUGGACCGAGCCUCAGGUAGGGCAGCCUACGUAUCUCACCCCCGAAAGAGGAGAAUCAGGUCACGCGUAGUUCUGGAAGCUUGUUUUGUUUGAAUCUAAUUUUUUUUCUAUAUUUCUUUUAUUGACCCUUUCUUUUUUUUUUCUAACUCUAUUUUUCUUGAUAUUCUUCUCUUUUAUUUCUUUUUGGACACAUUUUUCUCUUUUUUUCUAACACUAUUUUGCUCGACACUUUUUUUAAGCUUUGUUGACUCUAUCUUGAUUCCAAAAGAGGGGUAUGAAAUAAAAUAACACUAAGGCUCAAAUGGGGUAAACAAAGGAUGACAUAAUGUUUGGAUAGAAGAAUAAAAUGUCUUCAUCAUGUCAAUCCUUGAAAAUACUAGUACAUAGCAUGCAAUGUGAAAGUACACGAUCAACAUCACUUAUGACAUGUUUUAUAACACUAACUUGCCCCGAACAUGUGUUUCACCUCUUUUUAUAUACUUGUCAAACAUACAACUCCACAUUUGUUAUACAUCCCUCACAUUGAAAGAUUUAUUAUGCUUUUCUGGAGCUGCAUAUCUUCUUGUUUCUCUUGAUAUAGGGAUCACGCGCCCACUAUUUGAUCUAAUUAGGACCUUCCUUUCGAUCGAUAACUAAGUUGUUCUUGUGAUUCUCAAAAUAAUUGCCUUAACCUAUCACCAAAUGUCUCAGCACUCUAUCUAUUUUCUCAUAUACUCUCUUUUUCUAACUUUAACCCUCUGAUUCAAUGUUCAUGCUUAAACUGGAUUUUAAGAUCUGGAUAAAAAUUUCCUUAGCAUGUCAUAUCGCUAAAGUCAACAUAAAACGUAAUGUGGAAAGAAAACAAACACAUAUUUAAAACACAAAGUAAAAGGGACACUUUAUUUAGUUGAAAUAUAAUAUAGAAUGGUUUGAACAUAAAUGACACUGGGACAUAACAAGAUAGAUCCCGAAUUAUAACCUUGAAGUAAUUUGGAGAAUAGAAAAGAAAACAAAAUAAACUACCAGAACCCUUCCAAGUAGGGAGAGGGGUGACUUCUCAAUCGCUCAGUCUGACAACUUAGCCACUGAUUUGCAUAUCAUGACUAAAGCUUUCAUCACCAUCAAACACCUUUCCCUCCACAAAUAAGUUCUGGAUCUUCAUGUUUAACUCGUUGCUUCCCACGUAUUGUGCAUCGCCAUGUGUUGGUAUAGUAUUCUGUGUGACGCUCGAGGUAUCAAUAUUUUUCACGACAAUCAUUUUUUCCUGAAUCAUCUUUUCUAUUUCUCUUUUCAAAGUACGAUAAUCUUCAGUACUAUGACCCUGAACAUCAGAAUGAUAUGCACACUAUACACUAGGGUCAAACUUUCUUGAAUAAGGGUUAGGAGUACACCCAAGGAGAGGAGUAAUUAAUCCCCUCUGUCUCAAUCUCUGGAACAAACUGGCAUAGGAUUCCCCAAUGGGAGUAAAAUUAUCCUUUUCUUUCCCCCUCUUUGUGAACUCUGACCUCGAAUAAAACUUGGAUUUAGAGGUUCCUUGGUAAAUUUGUAGGGGCUGAGGACGAUGUUGAGGUACCGGUGCAUACCAUUGUGGAUAGAAAGACAGACCAGCAUACGACUGUGCAUUGUUCAAAGGAUACUGAGGACAUGGAAUAAAAUAUCUUGGAUUUUAAAAAGAGGAACCUUAUUGUAGGUGAGUCUAUGGAUUUGAUAUGUAAGAUCGGGACUGAGGCUGACAAUAUUGGUGAGUUGGACCUCUCAAACUCUGUUUUUGCCCUGACGCGACAAUAGGUGUGUUUUCCUUCUUCUUUCUUUCAGUUUCCCUGGAUUGAUUGCAAUAUCGUUCCAAAUGUUUCUCAGAAUCCUUCUGUCCAUCAUGUUCCUCAAAUUUUGAUAUUUCAAAGCUUUGAAGAUAGUUGACCUCUGAAGACAUACCCCAGUCUUUAUAUGAAACAUCUUCUUUACCCACAAGUCCCAGGAAAUUUUCCAUGUCAUUUUCUACAUUUUUCACCUUCCCCACAAUUUCCUCUGGCUUUUCUAGUAUGCUAGGCUUUUUGGUAAGAAAUUUUGGCAGUCCAAUUAACUUAAUUGUAGGCUCAAGAGUAUAGAAAUGAUUAUCAAGAGCCUUGAAUAUGGGUCCACUAGCAGAUUGGGGUGGCACAACCAUUGAUUUGAUAUCCAAAGUGGAAGCCUCACUAGAAGGUUAAACAACAAAGGCACAGACGGUAUGUGGUGCUAUGAACGUGGUAGGCUUAUACUGAGGAGCUAAAGAAUGAGUGGCGAAAGUAUUGGGGUACAUUUGACGUGAAAUGGAUUCUGCGACAUGUUGUGAUGCAUCAAUAACAUCAAGAAACUGACUUUGCAAUUUUGGUGGAAGACUCAAGGUAUUUGCAAGGUCAAAAGUGGGGAACGGAGGGGGAGGCAGCCCACUAGCCCAGGCUCGAUACAUUUCCAUUACUUAUUGUCUUAGUCUCCAAUUCUCUUCCUUUAAACUCUCAAUUUCUUGACUCUUUGUUUGAUCCAUGAUGUCACUCGCUAUAUCCUUGUUGGACACAACUAACCUUUUGGAGUUGGUGUGAUGUGGAGGACCAGCCAGAAUUCCACAAACCAACCAUCAUAAACAAACUGAACAAGAGAUAGCAAAUGCGUUAGAGUUCAACACUUUUUCAAAACUCUUUUUUCCUUUUUUUUAUAAGAUCACCGAACCCGAGAAGGGCGCUUGCAUAUCUCACCCCGAAAGAGGAGAAUCAGGUGUGCGUAGUUCGUGAAGUCUUGCCAAAAUGGCCAAUUAAACUCUUUUUUCUAUUCCUUGAAACUUUAAGAAGAAAAGAAAAUAACAAUUUGUCAAAAGAAUUGACGAAAAUCUUUUUGAAUUUUUUUCAAUUUUAACAUCCCUAUACAAAAUGAAAUCUAAGAUUACCAAAGAAAGAUCUUUUUAUUUUUUUUGCAUUUCAUACGAAAAUGAAACUUGAACCUAUUAAGGAAAAUCUUUUUUGUAGUUUUCUCUUAAAGAUGUAUAUGAAACACCUACCCUAAAGGAAAAGUGAAGAAAAUCUUUUUGGAUCUUUCAUAUUCCUAUACGAAAUGAAACCAAUGAUUACCAAAGAAAAUCUUUUUGGGUUUUCAAUUUUGAAUUUCAUAUGAAAAUGAAAAUUGAAACUAUCAAAGAAAGAUCUUUUUGCAGUUUUCUAUUAACGAAGUAUAUGACACCUACUCUAAAUAAAGAGUGAAGAAAAUCUUUUUGGAUUUUUGAAAUAAGAUCCCCAAACCAACAAUAGGCUGCCUGCGUAUCUCACUCCCGGGAGAGGAGAAUCAGGGGUGCGUAGUUCGUCCAGAUUGGACAAUUAAGGAUUAAAACGAACUAAGACUUGACUUGAGAGACGUAACUAUAGACAGACGAUGAGAAAUAAAAUCUUUUUGGAUUUUCAAUUAGAUGCUUCACACAAAACUGACACCAACAACUAUGAAAGAGAAAAAAAUCUUUUUGGCAUUUUCGUUAUAUAAAAUGUAUAGAACUUCUACCAUUUUUGCAUUUUGCUUUUAUUAGAAAAAAACUCCUAAAACAAUACUUUUUUUUUUUGGAUUUUUUUUGAAUUAUGAAUGCAUUCUAAAGGAGAUAAAGGGAAAAUCUUUUUUUUUGUUUGUUUUUGAGUAAAUGCGUGAAAAAGGUAAGAAAAUCUUUUUGAAUUUUUGAAUUGUGAAAAAUAAAAGUCAUAAAGAAAUCUAAAAAACCUACGAAACUCUUUUUGAUUCACCUUUUUUAUUUUUCCUUUUUUUUUUUUUUAAUUUUUCCAUGCCUAGACAUCUUUCUUUAAUUCUAGCCCAUGUUUUUUCCCAAAUCAGUCCGUCAAAUGACCGCGUUACCCUCAGAGAUGCAACAUUUAGCAUGUAGGGAUGCUUUAAAGGUGAGUCUCCUACAAAGGACCAAGUGGGCCCCACUAGGUCUCAAUAUGAUGCACAUAAGCAUGACCUAAAGGCUGACCUACAUUGUGGUUUACUAACAAAGCCGUUCGGGGGAGCAUAUGGUCGAUAGUGGCUGCUUUGCUUUCCACCUAUUCCAUACAUCCAACGGCUCCCCCCUAAAAUAAGGGUAACUCAACUAGAGUUCGUGCGCACGACGUGCACUCCGGGACUUAUUGCAAAAAGAAUUGACUCGGGUUAUGCAAAUAAUGUCAGAUAUAAAGCGGUAAUACAUAAAGAAAAACUGUAAACAAAGAGCACAGAAACGCGCAACAGUGAUAACAAUAACACAAACAAUAAUCACAAACAAUGUUUAUACAUCCAUAAUGCCACACAAAGCCAUACGACUAAAAAAAAUAAGCUUAAAUUCUGAAAAAUCCCCAGCAGAGUCACCAGAGCUGUCACACCCCUUUUUACACUCCAAAAAAAAGAUUCAUUUUAAGUUUGAAAGAGUUUUGUUAUUAAGGUGACAAAAAAUUGAAGGUUGUUUCGAAAAAUAAUUAUUUACAUUUUUAUUCAGAGUCACCACUUGGCAUAAUCCGGUGUGCCAAGUCACCUUUAAAAGAUCUUUUUUAAAAUGAUUUGACUCUUAAACUGAUUUGCGAACAGAGAUUCCGACUAAGGAAUUCUGUUGACCGCGGGGAAGGUGUUAAGUAACUUUCGGUCCCGUGGUUUGACAACGGUCGCUUGGUGGAGGGUAUCAACUAAUUUGGCACUUCGAUGUACAAACCACACAAAAACAUGUAAAACAAUCAAUCAAACAAAUAAACAAACAAAACAAAGGGGAUCCAAAAUAUAGUGUCCAGUCCGAGUUAUACAGUCCCAAAAUAGAAAAAUACAAAAAUGUAAAUCCUAUUCUAAACUAAUCCUAAACUAAGCUCUAAUGCCUCACCCGAUGCCUCGGGCCUUCCUCGCGAACAUCUUCCAAGUACAAAAUACUUCGGGGCAUUCCCCAGAUAAAUCAAUACAAAUCCCUCGAGGCAUCCCCCGGCCAAAUAAAUACAUUUUUAGUGCGGGAAAAUAAAACUAUUCAACAAAAUUUCAAAUAUUCCAUAGAAUUUCCAACAUUCAACCGAAGCCACAAAUUCUAAACUUUGCCUACCCAAACUAUGUUUGCCUAAACCAAUCGACGUAUCAAGAUACUACCAAGUUCGAUUAAUGUUCAUUUCAAGUCAAACAACCAAUGAAUCAAACUAACCAAAAUUCAGCAAUUAUGUCAAGUUUUUAAUUCUCACCCCACCCCACUCAAAUUAAUUCACGAUUCAAAACAACUAAAGAUUCACCACCAACACAGAUCAAGCAAGACAUAACGGCAAUUUGAUGCAUCCGAAUAUAAUGAAUAAUGAACUAAUAGAAAGAGGAAAUAGGAUUGGACCUCAAUUCGAAGAUUUCAAAAUUCAAUAAUACUUCAAUGAAAGGAUAGAAUCCGCGUCCGAAAACCUCGAAAUGAACCUUAACAGUGACGAACUCCAACUCUGAUAUUAAGGAAUUUGAAACCAAAAAUUGGUUGAGACGCGCGAAUACUAAACCCAAAAAAGGAACAAAAAAUGAUGAAUCCCCCGAAGCCCGAUUCUGGCGACGAAACACAAAGUCAGACAAACCCAGAAACCCCAAUACACAAUAGAACCAAAGAACAGUAUAGCCUGAGCUUCGGUAAGCUCGGACAACGGCAAAACGAUGAGAAAGGGAGGAUUCCGGUGAGUUUCAACAUAUUCAAGCCGGAUUUACUUGAAAGUCAAAAGAAACAAUGAGAUUUUUGGUGAUUUCAAACUAGUCGGUCAAGUCGACGAAUGAUGAUCGACUACCGACAAAGAUCUCGCCGAACUUGGCCAGUACAGAACCUGAGGUGGGGCUUCUGGUGAGCGAACAGUCGCCAAAAUAGUGUUCUCCGCCCUAUUCUCCUUUUCUCUCUCUCUCGUUCAGCUGCUCUCUCCCAUCUCUCCCUCGCAACUCUCUCUCUUUGUGUGUUUACCAAUUCAGUGAGGUGAAACAGUGAGUGUUGCGUGUGUAUUUUCUGAGAGUGUGCAUGUGCGUGUUACUGGUAAGAAUGAGAAUAGCAGAGGGAUCCCUUUUUUGAAGAAGAAGAAGAAGAAAAUGGGUCCUCCCUUUUUGAGUGAUAUCCCCUGUGUAUGGUGAUGGAGGAUUUUUUCCUUCUUGUGAGUGAAUUCCUUGGUCAAGAAGAAGAAGUUUUUUCUUCUCCUUUGAUCCUUAUCCGUGGGCCCUUCUCCCUUUACUUUUUGUGCUCUCUCUCUUCUGUAUAUGUGUAAGGACUAUAUAUAUAUAUAUAUAUAUAUGGAAAUGGUCCAGUCCCUCUGUAGGUGUGUGGAAUGGAAAAAGCAAAGAAAAAAUUAUGAUUUCUUGCA